rnacentral:rRNA from 1 species
CCUAGGAAUCUGCCUGGUAGUGGGGGACGAACGUUUCGAAAGGAAACGCUAAUACCGCAUACGUCCUACGGGAGAAAGCAGGGACCUUCGGGCCUUGCGCUAUCAGAUGAGCCUAGGUCGGAUUAGCUAGUUGGUGAGGUAAUGGCUCACCAAGGCGACGAUCCGUAACUGGUCUGAGAGGAUGAUCAGUCACACUGGAACUGAGACACGGUCCAGACUCCUACGGGAGGCAGCAGCC